AAAGAAAAGCAUUUGCAAGGCUCAGCCUUAGGGAAAUCCGCCCAAAGCCAAAGAGAAAGAAGAAAGGAGAAAGAAAGAAAAAAGAUAGGCACAGGUUUGGCUCAAAAUUGAGUGAACCCGUGAGAUUUCCUCUCACUCUUGAAGGUUUAUGUUGAUUCAUCACUCAAGGAGACUCCAUUGUUCAAGAGAGAAGCUGUGGAGAGUCAAUGAAGGAAUAAGCUCGGCUUUGGUGGUUUAAGCAAGGAAAGGUGAAGUAACGAGUGAUCGGCAAGUAGAAAUAGCUAGAUACGCACCCGAAUCAAUAGGACGUAGCAUCCCGCUAUUGUAAGAUAGUGAUCAGCUUAGCAUACAAUCAUUGGCAUUUAUGGUCCACCGCGAAUAGGUAAAGGCAUCUCAUAGCAAGUCAUUUCGAGUCACUCCGCUGCUAAAGGAAAGUAUAUGAUUUAAAGCAAUAACAUGGAUUGGUGAAUGAGUAUAGUGAAUUAUCGAGAAUAUCUAAUAAGGCUUGUUCAAGAUUUGACGGAUUUUUUCGAAGGUCUCAAACGCCACAAGUGCCAGUGUGCCACUCAGUUGAAAAUUUAGCCACCUUUUGUCCAUAUGUGGAAUAUAGGGGGAUGAUUCCUACAAGGAAACCAUCGAAAAUACCUUGGUUGGUGCCAGCAAGAUUGCGGGGCAUAUGGUGGCAUUGCAAGUUUCAAUGAAUUUGGAAUGCUAUCAAGACUGCAAGGUUCAUUAAAUGGUAUUGAUGCUUUAUUGUAUGUGUUACUAUUUUCUAAGAAUGAUGCUCAAAACCCUUGCAAUUUGUAGUGCAAUAAUUGCCAUUGAACUAUUCAUAGGAUCAUAUGAUGUUGAAUAAAUCAAUUUAGAGAAAAAGUUGUUGCAUAAAUAUUGU